UGGCGGCGUGCUAAACACGCAAGUCGAACGAGAAAGUGGAGCAAUCCAUGAGUAAAGUGGCGACCGGGUGAGUAACACGUGACUAACCUACCUCCGAGUGGGGAAUAACUCCGGGAAACCGGGGCUAAUACCGCAUAACAUCGCAAGAUCAAAGCAGCAAUGCGCUUGGAGAGGGGGUCGCGGCUGAUUAGCUCGUUGGCGGGGUAACGGCCCACCAAGGCGAAGAUCGGUAUCCGGCCUGAGAGGGCGCACGGACACACUGGAACUGAAACACGGUCCAGACUCCUACGGGAGGCAGCAGUGGGGAAUUUUGCGCAAUGGGGGAAACCCUGACGCAGCAACGCCGCGUGGAGGAUGAAGCCCUUUGGGGCGUAAACUCCUUUCGACUCGGACGAUAAUGACGGUACGAGUGGAAGAAGCACCGGCUAACUCUGUGCCAGCAGCCGCGGUAAUACAGAGGGUGCGAGCGUUGUUCGGAAUUAUUGGGCGUAAAGGGCGCGUANGCGGUGCGGUAAGUCACCUGUGAAAUCUCCUGGCUUGACUGGGAGCCUGCAGGCGAAACUGCCGUGCUGGAGUGUGG
rnacentral:rRNA from 1 species